GAUGAGAGGUGAAAGUUUAAGAUGCUGCUAGAUGUCUUUUAAAUCACAAGGGUCUUCUCACAGUCUUGUGAGAUGUCAAGCCAGCAGUUAUUAUCUCCUGACUUACGGCAAUAUGUCUCACGUACAUUCUGCUGUGGUUUAAGGUUGCAGGAUGGUUGGUUCCUCUGUGAACCUUUGAGGAGCUCCUCCCUAUAUUCAGACUCCACCUCCAGCACUGUUCCUCACCUUCAACACUAAGGUUUACCCGCGUCCCCUGUUCAUACAGCGUUCAGCCUGGCAAGCACCGGCUCUUCAUCAAAGAUCCACUGUUUAAUUUAGAAGUUUUCAAUUGGAUUUGUUGAAUAUAUUAAUCGUUUGAUUUGUUUUGCAGGUCUCAAGCCGUAUGCACUCGACAGAAAGGAGGACACUUGAUGCAGUGUGGAAGACGUUUAGAGGACAUCAGAGAUGCACCCUUCAUAUUUGGUAGACACCAUGACUGCAACGAUCUACCAAAGAAAGUCUUGGGUUUCAUUCAUGCAAGAAAUAAUAAAUAAUGUGAACUACAGGUAAUGAAGUCAAGAAGCACGGAGUCAAACCAAACAAGCCUUUCAGAAAGAUGCAAGUGAGAGCUUCAU